rnacentral:lncRNA from 1 species
UCGUAAUAUUGGUAAUUGCUCAACCUCACACUUCCGCAACAUAAAGCUCUCUUUGAUGUUCCCACCUAAGCAUGAUUAAUUUAAUAUAAUUUUAUUCGCUUUAAUUAAUUUAAUAUGUAUAUAUGCAUGUUUUAUGCUUUGCAGAACGUAUUUGCUGUUGGAACAAACACAAGUGCAACAACUAUGGUUUGGUCCAUGACCUACCUAAUGAAUAAUCCUAGAGCAAUGAAAAAAGUUCAAAUGGAAAUCAGAUCAUUGAUUGGGGGCAACAAAGGCUUUGUAAAUGAAGAUGACGUUCAAGAAAUACAUUAUCUUAAAGCAGUAGUGAAGGAGACGAUAAGAUUGCAACCCACAGAGCCGUUACUACUCCCAAGAGAAACAAUUGAGAAGUGUAUAAUAGAAUGGUAUGAAAUACCAGCUAAAACACAUGUUUUUGUAAUUGCGUGGGCGAUAGGACGAGAUCCUGAAACUUGGCAGAAUCCUGAGGAAUUUUAUCCCGCAGGGAUUAGUUGAUAGUUGUAUUGACUUUAAAGAGCAACACUUUGAGUUAAUACCAUUUGGUGCUGGCAGAAGAAUUUGUCCUGAUUUGAAUAUGGAAAUUCAAAUGUGGAUCUUGCACUUGCUAAUCUUCUUUACAAAUUUGAUUGGCAAAUGCCGCCUGGAAUGAAGAGCCAUGACUUAGAUGUUCGGCCUGGACUUGCCAUGCAUAAGAAGAACAUUCUUUCUAUUAAUUUAGUCAUAUGUUAAUGUUUUUUUUUAUAUUGUUAUGCAGUGAAUCAAGAGUCUAGGAAGAAAAAAUUAUGAUUUUGAACUUUCAUAAAGAUUCAAUAGCUCAGUACAUGUUUGUUGGGAGAACAUGUACCUCCCGGUUCGAGCGGAGAUUUCUAGUCUGAGUUGUGGUGCGGACUUAAAAAUGUCUCCCACAGUUGGGGCCCUCCCCAAAAUACCUCGUGGUUAAGACAAAAAAAAAAUAUAAAGCAAAAACCAUAAGGGAACGAGAUUUAAUGAAGGAAUUAGCAAGUGACGAAUAUUCCCAACACAAACAUGGGCAGGAGCUUGUCACUUAGUUAUAGUUCAUUGUCUUCGAUAACGUGAGAAACAUAAAUGCAGGCAUUUGGAGACUGAUUGUUUAUACAAAACAAGACAUGAUUAUUCUCUCUCCCUCUUUUGUUAAACAUUUUACAUUGUUUAUUGUGAAAUAUAUAUAUUCCAAUUCAUCAUCAGUGGCUAGGAGAAUACACAUGCAUGUGGAAAUUUUCUAAUCCCAUGCAUGAGAGAGGAUAUAAUUAAUGUGAUCAUAUAUUAAAUAUCUAACAACCUAAUCCUAUACAUUUAGCUAGAUGAGAUUAAUUAGUACCAGAUAUCAUUAGCAUAACAUAAAAAUAAACCAAUAAUAAAAAGGAAGACAAUAGAAUAAAUAAAAACUCCAAAAGUUAUACAUUACCUAGUUUUUAUGUGUCAUCAUUAAUUGGCGAGGCAUCAGUAUGAAUACCCUGUAUGAAUUUCUACUCCUAAAUUUUUGGGCUAAUAGAAUCUAUUCGGUUUUUUUAAUGUCCUAAAUAAAAAUUUAGGACUUUAAUUAGUUAAUUAGGCCUAAAAGUUUAAUAAUAUAAAUAUUUUGAUAUUUUUUAUUUUUACUAAUUUUUAUAAUUUUAUAAUUUAAAUUUUAUUAUUUAUUUACUAGUAAUUUUAAAAAAUAACAAUAAAAAUUAAAAUUAAAAUUAAAAUGGGGAAAUGGGUAGUGGAUGGGGAUUCCACCUCAUCCCCGUCCCCUCCCCUCAUACCCUCUCCGAAUGGGGAAAAUUCCCGAGGGUACCCAUCCCGUGGGGAUUUUUGUCAUCCCUAAGUAUUUUUAAGCAAACAAACACGUGCUCUCCCCGUGACCUUUAAUGCUCAUAACGCACCAAAACGCUGCCAUUUUAUGUCUGACGCGUUUGAUUCACCAGCAGGCCUCACAGCUCACAACCAUUAUUUGUAGAAUUGGUUUUGGCAAGAGGUACGUGAAGAUGAAGCAACAAGUGAAAGAAGUAGAUUCCAUGCCUUGCUUGUAAGCUUCUUUGUUACAGGUUAUUUUCCUUUCAUAGGCUGGAUUGAUAAGCUCACAGGAAUGUUGCAACGCCCGCAAAAUAACUUCCAAGAAAUCGACAGAGUCUACCAGGAACUCAUAGACAAGUUUCUGGAUCCAAACUGAACAAAAAUAGAACAGCUGCAACAGGAGGAUGUAAUUGAUGUUUUACUUCAAAUACGAAAAGACCGUGGAUUUAAAGUUGAUCUGACUAUGGAUCACAUCAAAGCAGUGCUCAUGGUUGAUAAUUUUAUAAAUAGUUAAUUAUUCUAACUCAUGCUUAGGGGCGGACUCAAAAAUUUUGUGCAGAUACCCACUCUUACGGUGUUGUAGAACAUUUUACAACAUUUAAAGUGCUCUCUGAUGUUCCCAUCUGAGCAUAAUAUUUACUAAGAAAAACAUGUAUAUAUAGUUGACUGAAAUAGAAUUCAAGGAAGACAUUACAUAGUACGAAUUUGAUUUAUUUCGAUGGAGUUUGAUUAAUGAAAGUAUAUGAAAGUGUAAAGAAAGUGGUAAAAAAAUUUGGUUAUGUAAAAGUUAUAUAGGCAACAUAUUAUUGUCAUAUUCCUAUUAAGGUACAUUUGAUUGUGAUGAUUAUGCAAAUAAAAUAGAUCCAUAUAUGUCUUUAAAGAUGGUUUUGACUUAAACUCGCGGAGUGUUGUAUGCUCAAUUUUGAGUUCUAUUAUUAGCCUUGCACCUAUCCUGGAUUAUUUCGAGGGUAGAUAAAAUUAAUUCGAUUAAUGCUAUCAUGUUUUCUUCUUCAAAUGAAUCGAAUAUUUCUGGAUCAUUAAUUCCUUUUAUUUCUUCAUUGUUUGCUUGUAGUUAAUCUAGUUUUAACCACAAAAAUUGUAUAACCAACUUGAUAUUCUUGACGAAAGUCUAAAUGAUCAAUUGCAUCUAGAAAUUUAUUAACAGAUCUUUCCAUUUUUAAGAAAUUGAGUUACUCUUAUCACUUCCUAUCUUAAAACAUCUCCGAAAGUAAACAAGGCCUAACAUGCUUCCAUUUGUGGCUAAAAUAAAAGAAGAGUUCAGAUCACUAACCAGUGUACUAUCUCUCGAAAUUUUAAAAUAGACUCACUAAUUACCUCCAACCAUAGAGAGAUUCAUGGUUGGCACUGCCAUAGCUCCACACAUCAUACAAGAUCACUUCAGUGAUUGUUCCACACAGUCCAACAUAACACACAACAGACUGACCUAAUAGGAUAUGUCUAAGUGAUUUCCUUGCAGUUGUCUCUGGAAGAAUGCUUAGUAAUAGAAAAUCUUCUUCAUUUAGCACAAGUAUUGGCAUGUAAGUUUCCUGGUUAGUUUUCAAAGGAUAUAUAAGAUAUUUGGAAGAUGAUAAUUUCACUCAAAAGAGGUUUAUUUAUUUCAUUAUUGAAAUUGUUUACAGAUGAUGGUUACAGAGAAUACAAAGAUAGGUGAAGGUUAGACAUAUGAUGUAUUUUCCUUCUUACAUGUUUCUAUUUAUCCUCUUAAAGAGAUAAGGUUAUCUCUUUUACAUGACAUAUGUUCAAAUUUCUUAGUGGAUCGUGGAUUCCCUUUUGAUAAGGUGACCCCUAUUUUUUUUAUCAUUAAAGACAGUAGUUGUCUUUUUUUCCUAAUGGCAGACAACUUUAUCUUGUUGUGGUGAGCUUUAUCUUUUUGGAAUAUUUCUUUUUGAAUUUUUUAUGCUUUUAGGAUAGCAUCUUUUAUCUUUUUCAAUGGGCCCUGUCACAUGUCAAUUAUUAGAUCUUCAUCUAAAGACAUUUCUUCCCCAUAAGAAUCUCCUUUUGAUCCUUCGUAGCAGUAGGAUGACUGAUACUUUAGCACCUUGCAUAUCUCGUGGUGCAUCUAGAGACAUGUCUUCUCCGCUAGAAUCUCCUUUUGAUCCUUCGUAGCAGUAGCCACAUGAUGACUGAUGCUUUAGCACCUUGCAUACCUUGUGGUGUGUUAGUAAGCUGGAUUCCACGAGAUUUUCAUAUAUAUAUUUUUUUUCUUUUUAAAUAUGCCAUGUCUGGCUAAAAUACUUUCUUUUCUACUCAUAGAAAAUAUUAUAUGCUCUUUUGUGGCUUCGUGAAGCCAUAUUUUCUCCUUACUUAUCUUCUCAAGAGAUUUAUAGAGGACUUUCAUUCCUAUGGUCCUUUUGCUAGUGAGAGCUUUGGGCUUGAAUAAUUCAGGAUGAUAAUCAUUGUAGACUUGAUGAUUAAACAAUUGUUUCGUCCUUUUUUAUAUUUUAAACCAAAAACUUGGCUCUAAUACCAUUUUUGAGGACAAAUUCAACCCAAAAUCCAAGUAAGGAUGUAUAUGAUUAAUUUUCAAGAUUUUAUGAAAAUUUUGUAAUUAUCCUUUUUCAAAACUCACCGUUUUGUACAAACUUUUGUGCAAUCCUCUGUGAGGAUGUCUUUUUCCAAUCUUGUUUUAUCCUUGCGCCAUCUUUUACUGCUGUCUUUUAGCCCCGGACAUCAUUAUCAUUUUUCAACCGUUUCAACAGGCUGGCCACCACAAACUGUUUUAAUGCAUUUAUCCACAUCCGUUCUUUUUCGGAAGCAAAAUCAAACGUUCAUCAUUUCGUGUUUGUUGCAUACAUUCGCAUGUAACGUAGCAGGGGCCUUUUUGACAUAUCACAACAGUUUUUCCUUUUCCUUUUUUCUUAAAUGAAAUACUGUUGUGUUAGAAUUUACGUUCCACGUAAAGUUGACGGUAAAAACUAAAUUCCGAUUUGAGUAUUGAGAUCCCGUUUCGAAAGGUAUGAGAUUCAAUGCUAAUUUUUAAAAUCGAUUUGGAAUUGGUCGGAAUUUGAGACAAAAUUUUGUGUCUAUUAAUGAUUGGGAUGGGAUCGAGACAAUCAACGAAGUCGUUGCUAGCGAUUACAGGCUCAGGCAUAAUACUUUUACAUCCAGCUUUUUCUGAUUUUCUUUUAAGUUACAUUAUACGAAAUACUUGUGACUGCACUGCGCAUGUGUCUUUGAUAGUUCAAUUAAGGCUCCAUAACUGAUGGAAGCCCUUGGAAACUGGUAAUUUGAGUCAUUUGCAGUUGAUGUUCCAGAAGGAAACGCCAAGGUUGAGACAUGUUACUUUCGGAUGCUUUUCCUUUAAGGCCUAUUUUUUUUUUUUUAAUUUAUAGCUUUUAAUAUCAUUUUAAAUUUGUCCGAAAGUAUCUUUUUUACCAAUAAUGUUUGUAAAUCAAGAAAUAGUUAAAAUUCCGCUAGGUGAAAAUACAAGUUUGGAAUUUUAUUUUUGAGUGCAGACGAAUUUUAUUUUUUAAUUGUGGCUGAGUUAGGUAUAGGUAAAUCUAUACUGAAACAGUAAAACUCACUCAUUGCCAUCCGUAAGAUUGCUAUAAGGUUAAAUAAAUAAAAGAAAUUAAAAGAAAAUUCUGUCUGAGGAUACAAAUAAAAUCGGAGCCUUAACAAUCUUCGUUGGAAAAAAAAAAGAAGAAAAAAAGAAAGAAACACUAUACGCAUCCUUUACUCCACUUAAUUUUUCAUUUAAAAGUCUAUUGUAGGUGUAAAUUACGGCACCUCCACCAAUAGGGGUGCGAUCUAAACGUAAUAUACAUUAUAGAGAUUGCACGUGCAUCAUCAAUCCUGCAUUCAGUGCUUCUCAUGUUUUCUUUCUUUCUUAUGUGUAAUGAACGUUGAUGUCCAUGUGCUCCCACAGUUUUAAGUAAUUUUUUUGCUUAUCAAAAAAAAAAAAAAAUUGUUUUUUUGAAUUAACUAUCCAAGUCCGAUAUAUCCGAGUGGGUAAUUGCACAUUAUCUAUUCCCUGAUGUCACAUAUUUUUGUCUUUCACUGUCCUUAAAUUACAAUGAAAUGGAAUAAUAUUGGCAACAGUAGAAAAUAUAAUAAGUAAAAAAUUUAUAAAAAUAAUGUUUUGUUUUAUACUCAAAAGUUUAAAUAGAAAUAUGAAAGUAAAAAGUUAAACACAAAAUAAAAUAAAGAAAAAUAAAAGAAUUUUUUAAAAGGAGAAAUAUAUUAUCUUUAAUUAGAAAAUGUUUCAUUUUAAAUAAGAACUAUAAUUUGUCAUUUUGUUAUAUUUGAUUUAGUUUAAUUUGAUUGUAUUUAUUUCUUGGAUUAGGGAACGAUAAUGAUAUUCAUUCCUUAUUGGUAGUGCUUACUUGCAAAAAAUAUGAAGGAAUAAGAAUAGAUUUUGGGUGGAGUCCAUAAAUUUGAAAAAAAAAAGAAUGAGAAUCUCAUUGGCAUGAGUAGAGGUGGGAAUAAAAAUUGGGGAAUGAAUUUUUAUCUUUAAAAAAAUAAAAAUUCCUUUUUUAUCUCAUAUUAAUAUUAAAUAAUAAUUAUUAUUGAUGUUAUUAUUUAUACUAAAAAUAUUUAUUAUUUAUUUUGUUAGUGAACAAAUACAUAACUGUAACUAAGGUCAUAUAAGUAUCUUACAACAAUUUAUUACGAUUAUAAGAUAAAAUAGACACAUUAAUUAGAAUAUAAUUUAUUCUAAUUCUGAUUCUUGCAGUUCAAGUAUAAAUUUAUUCUAGUUCUUAUUUUACAUUUUAAUUCCCGUAUAUUUCGAUAUUAGCCUAUUCUAAUUCCUAUCUAUUCUGAUCCCGAAAAAAUAAAUGAUCUAAUUCAAUUAUAAUAGGGGCAUUAGAGGCUAAAUUUAAACUUAAAGAGUAGUUCCGAUAUUAAACCAUAUUUUAAGGACAUCAAUGAAAAUGUAAUCAACAAAAAAAAAAAAGUUACACCAUCAUCGUUUUGUUGGCAACAAUAACGUUGAAGUGGUCUGUCUCCUUGCGAGUUGUGCGACCCCUUCGGUCGCAAGGAGAUGCCAAUCUUUUCAAUUUGUCGAUUUGCUUUCCUAAAGCAAUAAAAUAAAACUCAAAGCCGCACUUCAAAACUUGUGCAAGAAGGAAAUGUAACUGACGUAUGCUGUCUUUCCAUUUCUUGGUGCAUGUAUAUAUAAGUCUGAAUAUCAGCUGAGUCGGCCAACACCUGCAAGCAAUUUUCGUUUUUCGGUAAGUAUUGUUUCCUUAUCCUAUGAAUUUAUCUUCAAAUUUAUUAUAUUUUCACUUCAAUUGUUUCUUAGUUUGGUUUAAUGUAGUGCGAAGUUAAUUUAUCAACAUUCCACCACAUAAGCGGCACUGGAAGGACCCACAGAGGCCAUCUCCAGCUCCACAGAUGCUUGUGCCUAAAUUCAACAGAAGCUUAAACUUGGGAUUGCCCAAGCUUAAUGAAGACAGGAGUGGAAAUAUUGUGCAUGCAGGGCAUGCCGUAUUCAGGUGGUUUGCCGUAGGCUUGGAUGGUGAUAGCGGCUUUCCUACUUCUUUCCAAUCUGAACCGUCCUCAGUGGAGCCUGUUGAGCAUAAAAGAGGAGUAAAGCCGUUAGUUUUAGUGAACAACAAUCUGGCUGAAGGUUAGUGUUCUGCCUUUUUUUUUUUGUUUUAUCUUAAUUUGUUCUACUUUCGUUCUUGAUUUAUGUCUGGUGUUAACUUUGCUUAUGUGGACAUUUGGCUUUCUCGUUGGUAGAUAAUGAUGAAGUGAGGGGGAAUAUAUGAAGAAGCCCAGGGGGACCGGCAGCAGAAAAUGUAUGGCCAGACGUGUUGAGUGCUUAUAAGAUUGUCAAGAACGAAUUGGAGAAAAAGCCAACAAUUGCUAGAUUUGGCGAAGUUCAUUUCCAUAGAUAUGUGAUCUGGUUCCCAUUGCUGCUACAGCGUGAAUGUUUUGUGUUAGAUCAUUCCUCUCCUUUCUUUCGACUUUGAACUUAAAGCAAACAAAAAUGCAUAUUUAUACUAAAUCUGACAGACAUCUUGUGUUAGUAUUACUUGAUUUCUGGUAUGAGAAACAAAUCAAUCUCUUGCCGCCGUGAGUCCGUGACCAAGUUUUAUUGUUUGAAUUUUCAUAGGGACAACACAUUAUAUCAUUGCUUGACCUUAUUUCUUGCAGUAAAAAUGAUUCCAUUCUUCUAUCACAUUUUUGAAACAUCCAUUAGUUUUUGUAUUACAAGCGCCUCAAAGAAGUAAUUAUAUCAUUCAUCUCGAUGCAGGAACAAUUUACUGCACUUAGGAAGUGAAAAGGAAGGUCAGGUUGCUGAAGAAACCACUUUGAGGCAAAUGAAGUGAUCCUUUUACUCAAAUGUCCCUGCUACAUACAUGGAAGACAUUAUAAAUGAAGUUAUGCCAAAAAUUGGAGUUUAUUUUGAAGAGUACAAGGAUAUAUAUACCAUGUCAAGGUAGUUCUUCUGCUAAAAUCUUCAGUAUUAGUGAUCAAGUUUCGUUUAUCUCCCACUUAAUUAACCAUUGAUUCUUCCUACUCCCCGCCCCGGCAGUGUAGUUGCCUGACAGCAGGCGACAAAACUCAACUAUUUCAUGCAAAUCUACUGUUAAAGAAGAUAAAACACUUGAGCUCUAGAAGGCAAGUUUUCUGCUCCUGGCUAACUAUUCUUUAUGGACAAUGGAUCGAAUAUUGUGUUUGUUGCCUGUGUUUUAAAGGAGAUUUUUGCUACUUCAAACAUUGCAACAGGACUUUUGCUGUUUUGAAUUAAAUAGAUGAGGGUUUGAAUUUAAUCUUUUCAAUGUGAAUCAUGAAGGAUCUAUUCAAAAUAAAAGUGAUAAAGAUUAAGAAAGAACUUAAGAAACUAAGAGCUUUUAGAAGUCUUUGAAGAAAUAAUAUCAAUUUGAUAGGAAAAGAAUUUAAAAUGAAGAAAAAAGAUAAUUGAUAAGAAGUAAGACUAACUGUACAUCUGAUUGAGGAACAGGCUUGUUAAUUCAAACUAUUAUAACCAAUUGGGAAUUGAAUUAAGUUAACAGUUAACUCGUAAUUGAAUGUCUAAACUAACAAUGUAUACAAUUACAGAUGAGACUAUAAAAUUGCAAAGAUACUGCUGAUUGUGAAUCAAUUUGAACAUGCCAAUCCUUAGGAAUUCCUUUCAGUAUCAUGGGAUUUAGAUCUCAAUUAUCUUUUUUUAUUUGAGUACGGUGACAUCCCGAACUAUCAAAAAUACCCACUUGUCCAUACAUGCCUAUGUCCACUUUAUCAUUUAUUUAUGAAAUGUUCUAAUUAAAUGGGCAAGUCCAUAUAAUACAAUCAUUUUCAAUUGCCCAGCAUUUGGAAUACAGAUGCUUUGUUUCCUCGGUUUUUAAUUUUUUGUUCUUUUUUAUUUACUUGAUACAACUAAUAAGUAAAUUCAUGGCAUUUUCUAUCACCUCUUUUUUUGUUGGGAGUAUUAGUAAAUCAACUCUGUAAUUCUCUGCCUCUUUACCAUAAAAGCUGCAUUUUAAUGGCAUCAGCUUACAGUUAUGUGUGCUAAGUAAAACAAUUCUUUAUUGAGACAUUUUCAUCCUCCAGAAAAUACAUAAAUAAAAGACCAAACCAUCGUUAUUUUGAUUUCAUAACAGCAUCAUCCAUCACUUUCCCAUCACUUUCCUACAAGUUUUUGUUAGGAAAUUGAUGGGUGAAGCAGACACGUAGUUAAAAUAAAAUUAGAAGAAAAUAAAGAACAAACACAAUAGAGGACACCAGAAAAUUACGUGGUUCGACUUUUAGCCUAUAUUCACGGGCGAAAACAAAAGUAAAAUAUUUCACUAGUGAUAUGAGGAUUACAAGUAUUAUAAUAUUUUGGCUCACUUCUUAGAACCCCAAUACACUCAAUCUCUCAAUCUCUCACUCACUAAACUCACAAGAGCUUUAUAAUUUUAAGUUCUGAAAAUUACUCAAGCUCUUUAUUUUUCUCUCUCACAAAAUUGAAUGCGAAAACGAAAAGGAGGAGCCUCCUUUUAUAGCUAAAACUAGGAAAUGGAAUCGCACUUCGUGCGGCUUUAAAAAAAAAUUAGUAUUAUCUUUUUUUAUUACUUUGCACUUGAUGAAAUUGAUAAAAAAUAUGAAUUUUUUUUUUUUUAAAGAUGACGUAACCUUAUAAAACUAAUGUUAUUUAUGAAAGUUAAUUAUUUUUUUGUUAACAUUAAAAAUAUAUAUUAAUGUGUAUAGUUAAGUGUACACAACUACACAACUUUUUCAUCAAUAAAAAUUAUGUUCACACUAAUCAACUCUCUAUUUUUCUUGGUAUUAACAGAUUCCCACGUCUUACAAAGUCUAACCCUUGUCAUCAAACUAUCUUUAUCAUUGUUUAACUCAUGAAGAAAAGAGUACUCCAUGAAGCACACAAUACUAAAACUUUAAAUAAGUCAAAAAAUAAAAACACAAGAACAUUUCUAAAGAGGAUGUUGGUUAAAUAAUAAAAAAAAACCCAAACAUAACAAAUCUUAAAUGCUUAAUAUUUAUAGAGUUUGAAGAAACCAAAAGACACUAAAUAAAAGGUUGCAUAAUUAAAUAUGGGAUUAUGACAUUAAAAUUAGGUCCUAGUGGCAUUAGUGAGGAAAGAUGAAGGAACCUUCCUUCUUAUAUUAAUUAGUUGAUGUAUUUUAAACCACUAAAGUUUAGUUGUUGGCUUAAUAAAAUAAAUGAAUGUUUCAAAACUUAUAAUUAAUUUAUUAUUAAUGGUUACAUAUUGUUGAAUUUAAAUAGAAAGAGGAAGAGACAUGUAAUUUUUGUAAUCUAUUAAUUAUUUUCUAUUUUUAAUAUUUUGUAAUGUAAUUAUUUUUUAAUCUCAACCAAUAGAUUAGAUAAUAGAAAAUAUAAAAAGAUGAGAAAUAAUAAUGUCACAAAUCUUAACUACUUAAUAUUUAUAGAGUUUGAAGAAGCCAAAUGGCACUAAACAAAAGGUUGCAUAAUUAAAUAUGAGAUUAUAGCAUUAAAAUUAGACUCUAAUGACAUUAUUGAGGGAAGAUGAAGGAACAUUCCUUCUUAUAUUAAUUAAUUGAUAUAUUUAAGCCACUAAAGUUUAAUUAUUGGCAUAAUAAAAUAAAUAAAUAUUUCAAGAUUUAUAAUUAAUUAUUAUUAAUGGUUACAUAUUAUUGAAUUUAAAUAGAAAGAGGAAGAGACAUGUAACUUUUAUAAUUUAAUAAUUAUUUUUUAUUUUUAAUAUUUUGUAAUGUAAUUAUUUUUUUAAUAUAAACCAAUUUAUUAGAUAAUAGAGAAUACAAGAAGAUGAGAAAUAGUGAUACCACAUCACCUUCUCUAGUCCCAACUUUAUAUAUAUAUAUAUAUAUAUAUAGAUAAAUAGAUAUAGAUUUUUAAUAUUUUGUAAUGUAAUUAUUUUUUAAUCUCAACCAAUAUAUUAGAUAAUAGAGAAUAAAAAAAUAUGAGAAAUAAUAAUGACACAAAUCUUAAAUAUUUAAUGUUUAUGAAGUUUGAAGAAGCCAAAAGGCACUAAACAAAAGAUUGAAUAAUUAAAUAUGGGAUUAUGACAUUAAAAUUAGGCUCUAAUGGUAUUAUUGAGAGAAGAUGAAGGAACCUUCCUUCCUAUAUUAAUUAAUUGAUGUAUUUUAAGUCACUAAAAUUUAAUUGUUGGCAUAAUAAAAUAAAUGAAUGUUUCAAGACUUAUAAUUAAUUAUUAUUAAUGGUUACAUAUUGUUGAAUUUAAAUAGAAAGAGGAAAAGACAUGUAAUCAUUUAUAAUCUAAUAAUUAUUUUUUAUUUUUAAUAUUUUGUAAUGUAAUUAUUUUUUUAAUAUAAACCAAUUUAUUAGAUAAUAGAGAAUACAAGAAGAUGAGAAAUAGUGAUGCCACAUCACAUUCUCUAGUCCCAACUUUAUAUAUAUAUAUAUAUAUAUAUAUAGAUAGAUAUAGAUUUUUAAUAUUUUGUAAUGUAAUUAUUUUUUAAUCUCAACCAAUAUAUUAGAUAAUAGAGAAUAAAAAAAAGAUGAGAAAUAAUGACGACACAAAUCUUAAAUAUUUAAUGUUUAUGGAGUUUGAAGAAGCCAAAAGGCACUAAACAAAAGAUUGAAUAAUUAAAUAUGGGAUUAUGACAUUAAAAUUAGACUCUAAUGGUAUUGUUGAGAGAAGAUGAAGGAACCUUCCUUCCUAAAUUCAUUAAUUGAAGUAUUUUAAGUCACUAAAAUUUAAUUGUUGGCAUAAUAAAAUAAAUGAAUGUUUCAAGACUUAUAAUUAAUUAUUAUUAAUGGUUACAUAUUGUUGAAUUUAAAUAGAAAGAGGAAAAGACAUGUAAUCAUUUAUAAUCUAAUAAUUAUUUUCUAUUUUAAUAUUUUAUAAUGUAAUUAUUUUUUAAUUUCAACCAAUUUAUUAGAUAAUAGAAAAUAUGAAAUGAUAAGAAAUUGUGAUGCCACAUCACCUCUUGUAGUCCCAACUUUAUAUAUAUAUAUAGAUAGGCUAUUGUUAAUUUAAUAUUUAAUUAUUAUUAUUAUUUUAUUAAUUUUUCUUUUCUUUUCCUUCUUCGCCCGGCAUCUCCUUUUUCUUCUCUCUUUCUUAUUUUCUUUGGGCGGCACCAAAUCCUUCUUCUUUUGUUUUCUUUUCCAACUAAAGAUGGUGUUGACCAUCUAGAUAGCCAAUUUUUUUAACAGCUUUAGAAGGCCGGAGGCUGAAGCACAAUCAAUUGAGUUGUUAUUGCAUUUCUUACAGCAUGAGUGCGGCAAUUCAAUUGACUUUUUGGCACUUUUGAUGGACGGAGUUAAAUGGUGGGUUUCGGCUUGCAGUCACUUGUGUUUGUUAAAUUUUAUUUUUGUUAAAAUCCAUGAAUAUUAAUUACUAUCUUAUUCACUGUUCAGUAAAAAUAAAACAACACCAGAAAAAGAUUUUUGCUAUAUAACAACAGUGUUUUUUUUUUUUUUUCAAUCGAACACUAUUGUGUUAGAAUAUACUUCCCAGUUAAGGUAGAUAGAAAAAACCAAAUUUCAAUCAGUAUUGGGAUUCUGUCCCAAAACAAGCACUUACUGAUCACAACUUUAACAAAUUUAUUUUUCCACCACACAAUUUGCUCAACUUUUAUAUAUACCACACAUUUUAACUGCCACUAACUUAAGCUACUUGGCUAACAUAUUAUAGAAACUAACAUCCCAGAUUUUUCUUAAGAUAUUUCUACAGAGGAGAGGGCUACCUUACAGAUUCUGUAAGGUACAGCCCUCACAUGAAUACUGUUUGAUUGUGGGUCCGUGUGGGACCCACAACCAAGUUUGUGAGUCAGCUGUAACUUACCGAUUCUGUAAGUUAGUAAGCUCCUUCUACAGAUAUUUUAACGUUUUAGAUUGUAAAUUACUUUUCAACACUUGAUUUAAUCACUGAUUGUUGACGAUAACGUAGCUGGCAAAUUUGUUUCGUUGUGCUAACCGGACAAGCGAUAAGGACUUCACAAGAGUACAAAACAGAGCCCCGAUCUAAUAAUAUUACUGAACAUAGCAUUUUUGUUUCCUUAUUAAUGGAGAGAGGCAGUUCUGUUUUUGCAGUGAUUAAGCGCAUAGAAGAUAUUAAUGGCUUUACUUAUCAUCAUCAACUUCCUUUUGUGUCUCCCCUUCUUCCUCUUCUUCUUUGCUUUGCAAAGGCUCAUAACCUCAAGAAAUAAUACUAAAUUACCACCCGGCCCCUGGGGCCUUCCCUUAAUCGGUAACUUACACCAGUUUGAUGUCUCAAAGCCUCAAGUGUCAUUUUGGGAGCUGUCACGGAAAUAUGGCCCCCUCAUGUCCUUGCGUCUUGGUUUUGUGCCAUCCCUAGUAGUUUCCUCAGCAAAAAUGGCUAAAGAGAUAUUAAAAACCCAUGAUCUUCAAUUUUGUAGCAGGCCAGCCUUGGUAGGACAACAAAAGUUAUCUUACAAUGGUCUUGAUUUGGUAUUUUCACCCUAUGAUGAAUAUUGGAGAGAGAUAAGAAAAAUUUGUGUCAUUCAUCUCUUUAACUCUAAUAGGGUACAAAAUUUUCGACCCAUUAGAGAAGAUGAAGUUUCAAGAAUGAUUGAAAAGAUUUCAAAAUCAGUUGCUGCUUCUAAUCCCGUAAACUUAAGUGAGGUAAUGAUGUCUCUUACCAGCACCAUUAUUUGUAGAAUUGGUUUUGGCAAGAGGUACGAUGAAGAUAAAGCAACAAGUGGAAGAAGUAGAUUCCAUGCCAUGCUUAAUGAAACUCAAGCCUUGUUUGUAAGCUUUUUUGUUACAGAUUAUUUUCCUUUCAUGGGCUGGAUUGAUAAGCUCACAGGAAUGAUGCAACGCCUGCAAAAUAACUUCCAAGAAUUCGAUAGAUUCUACCAGGAACUCAUCAACGAGCAUUUGGAUCCAAACAGAACUAAAUCAGAAUUGCCGCAACCGGAGGAUAUAAUUGAUAUUUUACUUCAAAUACGAAAAGAUCGUGGAUUUAAAGUUGACUUGACUUUGGAUCACAUCAAAGCAGUGCUCAUGGUGAAUAAUUUUAUAAAUAGUUAUAUGUAGACUCGUGCUUAGGCGCAGACUCAAAAUUUUGCGCAGAUACCCAAUUUUACAGUCUUGUAAAAUGUUUUAUAAUGCUGUAAAGUGCCCUUUGACGUCCACCUGAGCAUGAUUAAUUUAAUAUAAUUUUAUUUGCUUUUAAGUAAUUUAAUAUGUAUAUAUGUAUGUUGUUUGUUUUGCAGAACGUAUUCGUUGCUGGAACAGACACGAGUGCAGCAACUGUGGUUUGGGCCAUGACUUACCUAAUGAAGAAUCCUAGAGCAAUGAAAAAAGUUCAACAGGAAAUCAGAUCGUUGAUUGGGGGUAACAAAGGCUUUGUAAAUGAAGAUGAUGUUCAAGAACUACAUUAUCUUAAAGCGGUAGUGAAGGAGACAAUGAGAUUGCAACCCACAGUGCCAUUACUAGUCCCAAGAGAAACAAUUGAAAAGUGCGUAAUAGAUGGGUAUGAAAUACCAGCUAAAACACUUGUCUUUGUAAAUGCAUGGGCGAUAGGAAGAGACCCUGAAGCUUGGGAGAAUCCGGAGGAAUUUUAUCCGGAGAGAUUCGUUGAUAGCUUUAUUGACUUUAAAGGGCAACACUUUGAGUUAAUACCGUUUGGUGCUGGCAGAAGAAUUUGUCCUGGGUUGAAUAUGGGAAUCGCAACUGUGGAUCUUGCACUUGCUAAUCUUCUUUACAAAUUUGAUUGGGAAAUGCCGCCUGGAAUGAAGAGCCAAGACUUGGACUUUGAUGUUCUGCCUGGAAUUACUAUGCAUAAGAAGAAUGCUCUCUCUCUUUUGGCCAAGUAUCAUGAGUAGGUAAAUUAAGGCACCUUGGUCAAUAAGAGUUUGAUCUAAACUAAAUGUAUGUUAUAGAGAUUGCAUGUAUGUCCUCAAUUGUGCUUCUCAUGUUUCCUUUCUUUCUUCUUAUGUAUAAUGAAUGUUGAUGUCUAUGUGCCCAUAGGCUGAGUGGUUUUUAAUAAUUAAAUUUCUUUUAGUUCAAAAUUUUGGGAGGUAAGGACUAGAGAAUAAUGGUUACUCUGCUCACUCUCCUAUACUAAUAAAAAAAAAAGUUGAUAUGAAUGUGAAUAUUAAUCUACUACAUUCAUUUCGUCUCAUAUUUUUUCCCCUAUAUUUUUUGCUUUAGAUUUAACUUCUAUCACUUAAACUGCUAUCUUUUUAUAUGAUUGGAUAGAGAUUGAAAUUUUUGCUGUUCCAUCUCAAUGUUAAUGCUAAUUUUAUCUUCACACCUUUACUGUAAUUUUCUACUUUUACUAUUAGAUGCUGAUAGGGUCUUUUCUUGGAGAUUACUUUACCAAAAAAAGUCUGAAAGAAGAUUUUAUAUCGAUCGGAUAGCAAGCUUGUCCAUAUAGUUUAUGGAUUAUCUGCAAGAGCUCUUUUUAGUGCGCAUACGGUUGUCCCUUCAUGUUAGCAUAUUUAUUCUGUCAUCAAUGAACUUUUGCAUUUAAAUGGUAUCAGUUCAAGUGAUGAAUGAAUUUUACCUAUUGCCUAUCUUGGACUAAAUUUAAUUUCAAAAAAUGAGCUUCCAGCUUAUGACUUAUACGUAUCUUGAACUUUGGUUUUACGAUCACCGUUGGAUGGAAGAGUGGCUUGAGUUUGUUAAUUGCUUCAGUCCCAGGACUAGUGUUUGGAAACAUAAAAUUUAACACUCCCCAAAAUAAUUCAAUAUACAACCAACUCCGAUGAUCAACAUCCUCAACCAAAAUUCUAAGUUUUACUCAAGAUAUCUCCAGAGUCUCAAAAGAUAAUAUUAUAACUAAUAUUAAUAUACCUCAGUUUAUUCUUAAUCCCAAAAGAAUAAUAUAACAAAAUUAUACAAUCUAAAAAGAACAAGAUAACUAUGAUAUCCUAAUAAAAAAAAUCAUCUAUAUCUUCUAACACCAUCACGUGGCCAAGAUUCAAAAUAUAUUUACAGUCGCUGGGUCGGUUUGGUGUACCUGCAACCUCCUGGUGGGAGGAGGGAAUAGAAUAAAAGCGGGAUGAGUAUAAAACUCAGUGAGAUCAGUGAGUGGAUAGUAGUUUUCGAAAAAUUAAUUCUUACUUUAAAAGAAAUAAUUAUAUCAUUUCCAAACACGAUUUCAUCAAACCAUAUGCGAGAAACCAAUAAUAAAUCAUUUAACAUUUAAAUCAGAUUACUAAUCAUGAAAAUCAUAUAUAAUAUCAUGCCUAAUAACUAUGGAAAUCAUAUCACAAUAUCAUAUAAAAUACACAAAUCUGAAAAUCAUCACCAAACAAGUACCCAAGGGAAAAAUCUCGUCGUAUCCGGACCUCAACGGACGGGCAAUGACGUACUAUCUAGGUACUACCAUGCCCCAGAGCUACAUGGAUAGACAUGAAAAUACCAUCUCAUAUCUCAUCAUAUCUCAUUAUAUCUGUGCAUGCAUAAUCUAGUCCCCAAAGGAUAAAAUCGCCCAAGCACACGGCCCAAAGCCUCUGUGUGUACUCAGACGAAUUCCAAAGGCAUGUAUCUCAUCUAUAUCAUAUGUAUCUCAAUAUAUGUCUGUAUCUCAUAUUUGUAUCUCUAUAAUCAUCAUACCGCAUGCAUAUGCCCCCAAAAAGCAAAAGCGCCAAAACACACGGCCCAAAAUCUCUAUGUGUGUUUAGAUAGGCCCCAAAUGCCUCUUAUCUCAUCUGUAUCACUGUAUCUGGAGGGAAGGAUAUUGUCCAAUGAUUUUAAAAACAAUCUCUAUACUCAUAUUCAUAUACAUUCUAAUUAUACAUUUCUUUCUUUAUCACAUCUAAAUAUAUUUUUCUCAUCUUUAAAAUACUGUCAUAUUUUAUUCAAUGUUGAUACGAAAAAUCAUUAACCAAACAUUUUAAUAUAAUAUCAAUGCGUGUAUAAAAUCCAUUAUGAGGAAAUCAUUAAAUCAGAACAUUUAAAAUACUAUUUUCGCAAACGUGAUUUACUAUCAUAAUUAAUUAUGAAAAUAUGUUUUGUAUAUUUUACUCACAGCGACAGUGUUCACGCUCGGUUAUCGUCCACGUCUGCGAAUCGGUUCUCGCUCACAGAUCCUCCUAAAUAAAAGAAACGGCAUAAUUAUUUUCUGUAAAUCAGAAUUAAGACUAAAUUUAUGCAAUAAACUCGAAACGAACAUCUAUCCAUAAUUUACAACUCCCGUAUCGAUAGAAUUACUGAAAUACCCUCAAAUAUGUAAAUCGUUAAAAUACUCCAAAAUCGUAAAUUAUCGAAUUACCCUCGGAAUCGUAAUUACACCCAAUCCUCAAUUUCAGAAAUUACUAAAAUAUCCACAAGCUCAAAAAUUACAAAAUUACCCUCAGAGUGUGAAAUUACUGAAAUGUCAUUGUCGGUCAACGGUCACUGGAAUUUAGUCAACGCUGUCCGGGAAGCUCAAGUAUAAAAGUUCCAAUAACGCUGAGUCUAAUAGUGCCGGCGGUGAGGUCCCACAUGCGGCAACGACGCCGUGAAUUUCCAACAAUUGGCCGGCGGCGAAACAGUGACUCCCGGUGACUGUAGAUGGUCAGGAAUUGAAGAGGGAGUUGUGGGGAACAAAAGUGAGGUGGUGGCGUGGUCAAAUUCCAAUAGAAUCAACGGCAAUGGUAUGGGUUUUGGCCGCGGUUUCUCAAGCUUGAAACGGCGACGAUCCCGUCUGCUUUCAGCGACAAUGACGACUGGGUAUGAUGGCCGGUCUUCAAGCUUCAGAUUGGUACCAAGCUUGACCGGUGGGGUGGCCAGAAUCGCAAGAUAUGGCCGGGUCAAUUUCGGGUCAAAACGGUCGGGUUUUUGGGUCGGUUUUGACAGCUUCUCUCUCACUCUCUCACACGUGUGUCUCUGUUUCCCCUGUUUUCCAGCUUCCUCUUUCAUUUAUUUUAACUUUUUAACCGCCUCAUUUUUUUAUUUACUUUUUCACAUAUGUUACAGAAUAACUUAAUCUUUUGCUAUUUUAUUACGUUCAGUUUAUAUACAGCUGAUUCAUUGUAACAAAUGUUAUCAUAAAUAACCACUCGGGCAGUAGCCCGAGUGGCCAGGGCUGCUGCCCUCCAACAAGUUGGAGGGCAGCAGUUCGAACCCCCACAAAAAUAUUGUGGGGGUAUUUCUUUCCUCAAUUAAUUUGAGUGAAGGUAGUCUUCUCUCUUACCCAUGAGUGAGGAGUAGACAUCCCUCGAAUAUUUGUGAGGGUUAAAAUCUGGGCAGAGCUCCAUUAGCAUUGAUGUCAGUUGGUCCCAGUAAUAGUCUGAUUUGUAAAUAUCAGUAAUAGUCUCAUGUAUAUGAGUUGUAAUCUGAGCAAUAGUCUCAUGUAAUCAAAAAAAAAAAAUGUUAUCAUAAAUGAUUCUCGAGUAAUUUCAUUUAUUUACUUUUUCUUCUUUCACAGUUGGCCUGUACGGUAUCAUUUACUUUUAUCUUUUUUCAAAUUUCUUUUAAUCUAGAGAAUGUUUGUUUUAGUCCUGAUCUUGGGUUACUGAAAUGUUUCAUUCCCUUUUCCUAAGUAUUUUUGUUGCUUGUUUAGCGGGCAAUACUGCAACAGUGAUUUCAAUUCACAAAAUUCUGUAAAUACUUAUUAUUCUUAGUGUGGUUUUAAGGUAGAGUGAACUUAAUAUUAUCAUAAUGGCUUACAUCCCUCCACAUAUGAGGCAUACUACGGACCCCCAGAGGCCAUCUCCAGUUCCAGAGAUGAUUGUGCCUAAAUUCAACAGAAAAUUAAACUUGGGAUCAUCCAAGCAUAAUGCAGACAUGAGUGGAAAGAUCGUGUAUGCAGACCCUGCCAUACACAGGUUCUUCAUAUGUGGCUUGGAUAAUGAUAGCAGCACUCCUUCUGUCCGCUUUGUGGAGUUUUCAGACGACCCUGUUGAGCAUAAAAGAUCGACGACCAUUAAUCUGGCUCGAGGUUACUGAUCUGCAUUUGUAAUUUUAUCUUAAAUAUGUUCUACUUUCUUUCUUUAUUUAUAUCCGGUGCUAACUUUAGUUAUAAUGACAUUUGGAUUUUGGGUUGGUAGAUAACGAUAAAUUAUGUGGGAAUACGUCAAGAAGCCCGUGGGAAUCGAUGGCAGAAAAUGUAUGGCCAGAUGUAUUGAGUGCUUGUAACAUUGUCAAGAACGAAAUGGAGGAAAAGCCAACAAUGGUUGCUAGAUUUGGCCAUCAUCUUUUCCGUGAGUAUGUGAUCUGGUUCCAUUGCUGUAACAGCUUGAACUUUUUAUUAGGUCAUUCCUUUUCUUUGGACUUUGAAAUUAAAGCAGCAAAAAUGCAUGUUCAUACUAAAUUCUGACAGAAAUCUUAUGGUCAUAUAAGUGCUGGCAGCUAAAAUUAUGAGCUUUACCAUUAACCCUACCACCAGCUGUGGAUGACUGUAUAUCGGACCUCCAAGCCGGGGACAAAAGUUAAAAUUGCUUUUAAAAGCCAAAGAGGAAAAGAUUUGUAGAAAGAAGGAAAAAGAAAAUGGCAAUUUAUAGUGCAUGCACUUCUUUCAGACUUGUAUCUCAUAGAAGCUUUCAUGGCAUCUAGAAUUUGGCUUUGGCUUUGCGUAGGACAUUUCAAUUGUUGCUGGUGGAAACAAAUAUAUCCAUUGUCUUAGUAUUGCUUGAUUUCCGGUGCAAGAAACAAAUAAAUUUGUUGCCGUGGCCAAGUUUUGUUGUUUGAUAUUUCAUUGGGACAACAAAGUAUACCACUGCUUCGCCUAUUUCUUACAUCUUUGCAUCAUAUAUUUCCAUUCUUCUAUCACAUCUUUGAAGCUUCUACUAGUUCUCAUAUUAGAAGCGCCUCAAAGAAAUAAUUAUUAUAUUAUUCGUCUUAAUGAAGGAGUGACAUACUGAGCUUAGAAAAUGCAAAAGAAGGUCAGGUUGCUGAAUCUGCUUUGAGCCCACUGAGGAGAUGCUUUUACACUGGUGUCCCUCCUACAUACAUGGGAAAAAUUGUAAAUGAAGUUGUGCCAAAAAUUGGGGUUGGUUUUGUAGAGAACAAGGAUAUAUACCAUGUCAAGGUAGUUCUCCUGCAGUCCUGCUAAAUACUUUAGUAGUCAUCACCAAGUUUCUUUUAUCUCUCACUUAAUUAGCCAUUGAUUCCCCCCCUUCUUUUUCUUGUGUAGUUGUCUGAUGGCACACGACAAAUUACGUGCAAAUGUACUGUUAAAGAAGAUCAAAAGCUUCAUCUCUAUAAGGCAAGUCUUUUGCUACUGGCUGAGUAUUAUUUAUGGACAACGGGUCCAAGUUUAUAAGUUGCCUCUUGUGUUAAGGAGACUUUUGCUAGUGGAAACAUUGAAACAAGACUUAUGAUGUUUUGAAUUGAAUGAUAUAAUCUUUUCACUGUGAAUUAUGAAGGAGAUGUCGAAUAUAAGCGAUAGAUAUCAAGAAAGAGACGAAACCUUUGUGUCUCAAAAGAACCUUUUAGAAGUCUCUCCAGGAAUAAUCUCAGUUAAGAGGAAAAGAAUUAAAAUGAAAAGAAGGAAGAAAAUUCUCAAGAAGUAAGACUAAUUCUACAUCUAAUUGAGGAACAGGCUUGUUAAUUUAACAAGGAAAGCUCCAGUAGCUAUUUAUUAUAAACCAAUUAAAAAUUGAAUUAAAUUAAUAGUUAACUUGUAAUUGAAUGUCUAAUCCAACAAACUAUGCAUAAGAUUACAGAUGUAACUAUGUAAUACAAAAAACCUCUGCUUAUCGUAGACCAAAGUGAAUAUGCCAAUAUUUAGGAAUUUCUUUCAGCAUCAUGGGAUUUAGAUCCCUAUAAUUUUUUUUAUUUUAGUGUAGUGACAUCCGGAAGACCAGAAUUAUCACGUACCUCGUAGUAGUCAUUUUAUGUCUUUUAAAGCGCCACAUUAUUUCCCAUACAGUCAUAAUAUAUCUAUUUGUUGUUUAUUUAUUGUUGUCGUGUGUGGAGUCUCAUCUUGAAUAUGAACAUUUUUCCGGAAGGUCGAGCUGAACUCUGUUCGUCACAUGGUAGCAGACAUGUUAUGCGUUCAUAAAAAUCUAGACCUGAGGUUGGCACUAUGUUCAAAGAGUACCUUAUCUGCUCUCUCGGUAAGUCAAUCUGCUACUCUGUGCAUGUUUAGCUGGACUUUUAAGUUACGCCUUCUUUUUUCCCCUUUUUAUUUUUUUUUGGUCAUUUGCUUGUUGGAAUCAUCAUCAUUACAGAAUGAGGAAGAAAAAUUCAAGACCAGGGGAAAUAAGGAAAUAUUAAACUUAUAGCUUUUGUUUUAUCAUAGAAAGUUUACUUUCAAGGGGUUGAGAAAAAAAAAAAAUUAUAUAUAUAUAUAUAUAUAUAUAUAUAUAUACACAUACAUAUAUAUAUAUAGGGAUGGCAAAAUCCGGGUCUGGGUCCGGGUUUAGCCUUCCCGGUUCCGGACCCGGACGCCAUUUUCUUUCUCUCGGUCCCGGAUUAAAACCCGGUUUUUUCACUUCGGGUCCGGUACGGGUUCAACCCGAAAAAAUCCGGGUUUUGAACCCGGAUCAAUGAAUUAAUUUCUAUAAUUCCAAAAAUAAAAUCUUCAUAUGAAGAUGGCGAUUUUUCACUGGAACCAGAGAAAAUAUUUAUGGCACCUGGAGGGAGUUCCCUCUGUUUUGCAGAUCAUUUAUACAGAACAAAAUGAUUAAAUACCCAAAAAGGAGGAUCACAUGUCUGCAGAUUUGGCCCGCGGAAAAGAUUCAACACAAUCUCCAAAACCAUUUUAGAAUCCGCGAUGGUGAAGAUGCGUUGUCACAACUCAAACAACGACAGCCGAUGAUGAUGAAUACAGGAGCUACAAGGUUGCGACGGUGGUGAACCCAAGAGAACGAGUUGCGACGGUGGCGAACCAAGCUUGCGACGGUGGUGAACCCAAGAGAACGAGUUGCGACAGUGGCGAACCAAGCUUGCGACGGUGGUGAACCCAAGAGAACGAGUGGCGACGGCGGCAAACCAAGCUUGCGACGGUAGCAGCUUGGAUCGUAUGGUUGUUUGGUUGCAGCAAGCGGCAGCUUCAAUGUGUGAAUGUGAGUAUGUAAAUUAGGGUUUUUGUUAUGUUUGUAUUUAUAUUAAAUAAUAAAUAUAAUUAAAAAAUAAUAUUAAAAUAAGAUAUCCGGGUCCGGGUUCCGGAUAUACGGGUUACUCUAAACUCGGAAUCGGACCCGGAUCUAUCCGGGUCGUUAAAAUUCAUUCCGGAUCCGGAUUUUUUUACACUCCGGUACGGGUUCAACCCGGUCCGGAUUAUCCGGAUUCGUCCGGGUCCGAUCCGGGUCCGGGUUAUUCUGCCAUCCCUAUAUAUAUACAUACACACACGACAACAAUACAUAUAUAUACAAAAUUGUGAUAUCGUGCCACAGUUGCACUCAACCGUUGGAUUUCUAUGGACCCCACCUAUCUAAAUGGAUCCAACGGCUGGAUGCAACUGUGGCACGGUACCAUAGUUGCACCGUAGCCAGACCCUGCAAAAGUAUAUUGAAGUUUUUUUCUGGCCUUUUAUGUAAUCACACCCGCCAGUAAUGAGAUAAUUUACAAAAAGGUCCUUGAUGUUUUGGUUAAAUUUAAUUAAAUUAGUAAAUUCAUCCAAAACGGCAUCGUUUUGAAUGUGUUUUUAUUAAGAUUUAUCCAGCAUUUCGUACAUAUAUCAGUGCUUUUUUUUUUUUGUUUAAUUUUUAUAAAGUGUUGGUUAGAAGGCAAACAUCUUACAUUAAAAUGGAGUCUUCUUGCGGCGGCCAAAGGAGAUAUAUAUAUAUAUAUAGGCACACACACAUACACUAGAGUUUUGUUUAAGUUAUAUUUCACAUGGAUUAAGUUGUAGAUGACAGAUCUCUAAAAGCAUCUUGUAAAAUUGUACAUUAAAAAAUAAUAGUUCUAGUAGUGUUAAAGGCAGCUGCUGAAAACAGUUUCUACUUAUGCUGCGUUUACUAAACUGGAAUCGGAAUGAGUUGGAAUCAGAAUGGACGGGAAUCGAAAUGAGCUGGAAUGAGAAUCAAAAUAAGUUGUUUACUUGAACUGUAGGAAUCGAAAUCGGAAUGAGCUGGGUUGCCAUUAAUGUGUUUACUUUGUCUUGAAUCGGAAUCAGAAUGAGUUAGAUUGUAACAAAUUACUAAAAAAUACUUAAUGAAUUAUUGUCAUAAUUAUUAUUAUUAACUAAUUUUAAAUUUUUUAUCAAAUUAUUAUAAUUAUAUUAACAAUUAUUAUAAAAAUAUAUUAACAAAUAAUAUUAAUAUUCAAAAAUUAUAAUUAUUAAUAAUUAUUGUUAAAAAUAUAUUAAUAUAUUAAUUAGUACUAAUAAUUAUAUUAUUUAAUUAAUUAUAAUAACUAUAUUAAUAAUUAUUAUAAUAACAUGUUAAUUAAUUAUUUACAAUAAUAAUAUAUUAAUUAUUGUGAUUAUUUACUCAAGAACAAUAAUUAUUAAUAUAUUAUUGUUAAUAAUAUAUUAUUAUAUUAUUUAAUAGUGAUAAUUAUAUUAAUUAAUAAUAAUAUAUGAAUUAAUUCUAAUAAUUAUAAUAGUAAUUAUUAUAAUAAUAUAUUAAUUAAUUACAAUAAUAAUAUAUUAACUAUUGUGAUUAUUUAUUCAGAAAUUAUAAUUAUUAAUAAUUAUUGUUAAUAAUAUAUUAAUAUAUUAAUUAGUAGUAAUAAAUAUAUAAUUUAAUUAAUAAUAAUAUAUGAAUUAAUUAUAUUAAUAAUUAUUAUAACAGUAUAUUAAUUAAUUAUAAUAAAAAUAACAAUAAAUUAAUUAUUGUGAUUAUUUAUUCAAAAAUUAUAAUUAUUAAUAAUUAUUGUUAAUACUAUGUUAAUAUAUUAAUUAACAGUAAUAAUUAUAUUAAUUAAUAAUAAUAAUAUAUGAAUUAAUUAUAGUAAUAAUAUUGAUAAUUACUAUAAUAGCAUAUUAAUUAAUCAACUAAAAUAAUAAUAUAUUAAUUAUUGUGAUUAUUUAUUCAAGAACUAUAAUUAUAGUUAAUAAUAUAUUAAUUAAUCAUAAUAUUUAUUUAAUUAAUUAUAAUAAUAUAUUAAUUAAUUAUAACUGAGGACAAAGUGGGUAUUUUUAGUUUUGGGGGAUGGCAAAAUGGGAAUUCUUGGGAUGGGAGAUUGAUUCCCACCUCCCCCAUGGGAAUCAAUCUCCCAUUCCCCAUUCCCAAAUAGUUGUGGGCCCCACCAUUUUGAUUUCCAUUCCUGCUUCAUUUUUGCGAAGUAAACGCGUCAAUCAUUCCGAUUCCAGAUUUCGAUUCCCCAAUUCGGGAAGUAAACGCACCAUUAGUUUCUAGUAUAUCCAUAUAUAUUUACCUAAAAAAGAAGGAGGUAAACGUCUUUUGUUUUUUUUUUUUUUUUAAAAGAGAGAGAGCGAGAGAGAGAACAUUUUCUACUGUGUUCACUGACACACCCCGCCCCGACUUAUAUGUUGGAUCCGAGGCGAAUCAUGCGGUCUAGUAACUAAAACUCGUGGCACUAACUUAAUUCAUGUAUAUAUAUUAAUAGUUUUCUGGUUAGGGAAUUGUAAGCUUUUAAAGCCGUGCAGUUUUAAAGUUUUCCCAGACUUUCCCGCACUUUAAAAUUCCAGACUGGAACAUUUAUAUAUAUAUAUAUAUGACCUUUACUAUAAACACAUAACAACCUUUGUGUCUCCUCCGAAAAUAUAUAUGUAUUCAAAACUUGCACAGUUCAUGUCUCAUUAUACAUACUUACAUUACAAGUAUAUAUACAAAAAAAACAUAAACAACAUAAAUGUGCUCAAAAUGCAAGACAUGCAACAAUGCGUCUCGUGGGCCCACCCCAAUUGACUGGAACUGAUCUGCACGAAAUCCUGCGGAAUCCUGGGAAAAAAAAUAGAUAAAUAAGAAAAUAAUGAGCUUGCGGCUCAGUGAGUGGAUAUAAUUUAUAUAUAGAAAAAUAUAGUAGCGUACUAGGAUAUAUACAUAAUUAUGUGACAUAAUUCCGCACUGAAUGUAAUGCAUCAACAAACAUGAAAAUCAUACACACAUGACAAAAUUGUACCAAAUAGUACCCAGGGGAAAUAACUCUCAAUACUUGCUGGGAUCAUCGUCGCACGAGAAGAGCGGGAAAACUCUCAAUACCCAGCGGAAUUUAACUAAAUCGCACGAGUAGAGUAGCCUAACUCUCAAUAUGCAUGCGUAGAGCCUAUGGAGAAGGGUACAUAUAUGGUGACUGACAAUCACAUCUCAUGACUCAAUCAAACAUAUAAUAUGCAAAUAUAUAAUCAUGAUAUUAAAUCAUAUUAUCAAAUAUAAAUGCUUCACGAAAUUCAUAUUAGUAAUAAUAGUAUCCACUCACAAAUCAUGUUUCACUUCGGGGUGUUUGUUGGGGCUCCUAUGGGUUCUUGAAUUCUUGAGUUCCUCCUAAAAUAUAAGAUUAAAAAAUUAACUAUUAAAACUGAUAUAAAAAUUGAUACGUAUCACAAAAACUGUAAUAUAACUGUUCAAACUUCAUAUAUCUAUUACCCAUUAAUUCAUUGGAUAUUAAUGUAAGUGUUUAAUUUCAUUUCCUAUAACAUUCCCUCUCAAUUUAUCUUUUAAAUUUCUUUUCCCACUCUUGGCUUCUUCCUUUCUUUUAUUUUUUUUCUUUCCUCUUCUCUUUUGCUCUCAGUUUUUCUUCUUUUUCUUCUCUGUCUCACUUCAAAAAAUGAUGCAAAAUGAGAGCUGGUUUCAAUUCCUUCAAAUUCAUAUAUGUCCACCGACUCAAGCACACAAGUAGAGCAUACGGGUGAAGCAUGCACGUGCCUUGCAUGAAGCUGGUAGCUUGCUGCUGCUUUGAUAAUUAGCCACGUUUGGCUUAUAAAGAAGCGGUGAAGCAUGCACGGUGCAUUACAUUCAUGCUAUCUACGGAAUGAUAAAAACUAAACUUCAAGUACAGCGGAGUAAAACCUGUGCACACAGCUUAACAUUUUAUGUGGCAACUCUGGAAGAAAUCUCACAAUGAAAAUAAAAAUUACAGGCGAAUGUUGCAAGUAUAUUUCAUUCAUAUGUCAAUUUUUGAAAACCUUGCUCUGUAAGUAAACCAACCAAUCUAUUUGUGACAAAUGGGAACAAGACAGUAACCUCCUUAUUUGAUGAUAUGCAGCAUUUGCAGAAGCUGAAACAGUAAACAUGGGAAUGAAAGGAUUAGAAUCAUUUGAUAUAUUUUUUUUUAACUAGAAUUACUUCCACCGUAACUGAUAUAAUUAAAUAAGAGAGAAUUUACAAACUAAUUUUUUAAAUUCUCUCAAAUAAGUAAGCAUAUUAAUUAAAAAAAUUAAAUUAAAAGUAUUUCAUUUAAUUAUUUUUUUAUUGAAAACUAAUAAUUAAUACAUAUGCAUUCUCUACAGGUUUAAUCAGGUUUUGUUGUUGUACACAUUAGUAUAAUAAGUUUAAAUGAAGUUUAAACUUUGAUAAUUUAAAUUAAAAUUCUCACAAUUAUUUGAAGAUUGUGGUUCGGUGAAAUGAAGUUUAUCCAGUAUAACAUACCAAAAAGGGGGCGGCUAAGGAGGCAGCCAGGAGGCAACCGAGAGUUAGCAAAAGAGGCAAGAAAAAGGCAACAAGCCAACAAUGAAGUCAAAAGCUCAAGAAGGGAAGCGGUGAAGCAAAUCCGACAAACGCAAGCAAGAGUUAAGCUGGCUGUUUCGCAUGACACAUGUGAAGCUUCAUCACAAGCUGGCUGUUUCGCAUGACACAUGUGAAGCUUCAUCACAAGCUGGCUGUUUCGCAUGACACGUCUAUGCUAUUUUUCUUCUGGAUUUAAUCUAUCAUUGUCGACGACGACGAUUUGCUAACCUCACAAGUGAUAAGGACUCUACAAGAGUACAAAACAGAGACUCGUAAUAUUACUGAAUAUAGCAUUUCUGUUUCCUUAUUAAUGGAGAAAGGCAGUUAUGUUUUUGCAGCGGUCAAGGGCAUUGAAGAUAUUAUGGCUUUACUUAUCAUCGUUAGCUUCCUUCUGUGUCUCCCAUUCUUCCUCUUCUUCUUUGUUUUGCAAAGGCACAAAACCUCGAAAAAUAAUACUAAAUUACCACCAGGCCCCCGGGGCCUUCCCUUCAUCGGUAACUUACAUCAGUUUGAUGUCUCAAAGCCUCAUGUGUCAUUUUGGGAACUAUCGAAAAAAUAUGGCCCCCUCAUGUCCUUGCGUCUUGGUUUUGUGCCGUCCUUAGUAGUUUCCUCAGCAAAAAUGGCUAAAGAGAUAUUGAAAACCCAUGACCUUCAAUUUUGUAGCAGGCCAGCCUUGGUAGGGCAACAAAAGUUAUCUUACAAUGGUCUUGAUUUGGCUUUUUCACCCUAUGAUGAAUAUUGGAGAGAGAUUAGAAAAAUUUGUGUCAUUCAUCUCUUAAACUCUAAUAAGGUACAAAAUUUUCGACCCAUUAGAGAAGAUGAAGUUUCAAGAAUGAUUGAAAAGAUUUCAAAAUCAGUUGCUGCUUCUAAGCUCGUAAACUUAAGUGAGGUAAUGAUGUCUCUUACUAGCACUAUUAUUUGUAGAAUUGGUUUUGGCAAGAGGUACGAUGAAGAUGAAGCAACAAGUGCAAGAAGUAGAUUCCAAGCCUUGCUUAAUGAAACUCAAGCCUUGUUUGUAAGCUUUUUUGUUACAGAUUAUUUUCCUUUCAUGGGCUGGAUUGAUAAGUUCACAGGAAAGAUGCAACGUCUGCAAAAUAACUUCCAAGAACUUGAUAGAUUCUACCAGGAACUCAUCGACGAGCAUUUGGAUCCAAACAGAACAAAAUCAAAAUUGCCGCAACAGGAGGAUAUAAUUGAUGUUUUACUUCAAAUAAGAAAAGAUCGUGGAUUUAAAGUUGACCUGACUUUGGAUAACAUCAAAGCAGUGCUCAUGGUGGAUAAUUUUAUAAAUAGUUAUAUGUAGACUCGUGCUUAGGCGCAGACUCAAAAUUUUGUGCAGAUGCCCAAUUUUACAGUGUUGUAAAACGUUUUAUAAUGCUGUAAAGUGCUCUUUGACGUCUCCGCCUGAGCAUGAUUAAUUUAAUAUAAUUUUAUUCGCUUUAACUAAUUUAAUAUGUAUAUUGUUUGCUUUGCAGAACGUAUUCGUUGCUGGAACAGACACAAGUGCAGCAACUGUGGUUUGGGCCAUGACCUAUCUAACGAAGAAUCCUAGAGCAAUGAAAAAAGUUCAACUGGAAAUUAGAUCGUUGAUUGGGGGCAACAAAGGCUUUGUAAAUGAAGAUGAUGUUCAAGAACUACAUUAUCUUAAAGCCGUAGUGAAGGAGACAAUGAGAUUGCAACCUACAGUGCCGUUACUACUUCCAAGAGAAGCAAUUCAAAAGUGCAUAGUAGAAGGGUAUGAAAUACCAGCUAAAACACGUGUUUUUGUAAAUGCAUGGGCGAUAGGGAGAGAUCCUGAAGCUUGGCAGAAUCCUGAGGAAUUUUAUCCGGAGAGAUUUGUUGAUAGUUGUAUUGACUUUAAAGGGCAAAACUUUGAGUUAAUACCGUUUGGUGCUGGCAGAAGAAUUUGUCCUGGGUUGAAUAUGGGAAUUGUAACUGUGGAGCUUGCACUUGCUAAUCUUCUUUACAAAUUUGAUUGGGAAAUGCCGCCUGGAUUGAAGAGCCAUGACUUUGAUGUUCUGCCCGGACUUGCCAUGCAUAAGAAGAACGUUCUUUCUCUUCGGGCUAAGUAUCAUGUUGAGUAGGUAAAUUAAGGCACCUCCAUCAAUAAGAAGGUAAAUUAAGGCACCUCCAUUAAUAAGGGUUUGAUCUAGCUAAAGGAAAUAUAUGUUAUGCGUCCUCAAUUGUGCUUCUCAAUGUUUUCUUUCUUUCUUCUUAUGUAUAAUGGAUGUUUACGCGAAUGGUUUUUAGUAAGUAAUUUUCUUUUAGUUCAAAAUUUUGGGAGGUAAGGGCUAGAAGAUAAUAGGGACUCUGCCCACUCUCUUAUACCUUUAAAAAAAUGAUAUGAAUGUGAGUAUCAAUUUAUCACAUUUAUUUUGUCUUACAUUUUUCUCUCUCCAAUUUCAAAUUAUAAAUGUAUAUAUAAAUACACGAAACGACCAAUCAAUAUUAUUUACUUGAUAUAACUAAUAAGUAAAUUCAUGGCUUUUUCUAUCACCCCUUUUUUUGUUAGGAGUAUCAGUAAAAUCAGCUCUGUAAUGCUCUACAUCUUUACCGUGAAAGCUGCAUUUUUAUGGAAUCAGCUUACAGUUAUGUACUAACCAAAAAAAAAGAAAAAGAAUAUUACAUCAAUUCUUCAUUGAGAUUUGAGACAUUUUCUUCCUCCAGAAAGUAUACAAGUUAAAAAAACUACACAUCAUUGUGAUUUCAUAACAGCAUCAUCCAUCACUUUCCUAUGAGCUUUUUAUGAGGCCGGAGGCUAAAGCACAAUCAGUUGAGCUGUUAUUGCAUUUCCCACAGCAAGACUGUGGCAAAUCAGUUGACUUUUGACGUUAAAUGGUGGUUUCGGCUUGCAGUCACUUGUGUUUGUUCAAUUUCAAUAAAGGAAAUUUCAUUUUUGUUAAAAUCCAUGAAUAUUAAUUACUACCUUGUUCGCUGUUCAGUAAAACUAAAACAACACCAAAACUUAAAUAUUUUCGCUAUAUCACAAACUUAAAUAUUUUUUUUUUCCCCCUAUACAUCCCUAGUAAGGUUGACAGAAAAAAACCAAAUUUCAAUCGGUAUUGGGAUCCCCUCCCGAAUGAUAGGGGAUUUGGCACUAAUUUUUAAAAUCGAUUCGAUACUAAUUUUAACAAACACUUGCUUUAAACCAACUUAUUCUUCUACCACAUAAUUUACUUAACUUUCAUUACAUGAAAAAUAGUCAUUUUUUUUACCUAACUUGUUCGACAAUAGUUAAAUAUGUUGGUGAGAGGGCAGUUUUCAAUUGUAAAAAUCAAGACAUCGAGAAAAACUAAAAUGGCUAUUUGGUUUUUCUAAUGAAAAACUAAAACAACUAUAUGGUUUAGCGUGAAAUUUUAGCUUCAUUGGUAUUUAUGACGAUUGUAACUAACCAUUAAAAAUGCAUAAUUAUUUUCUACCUGUAGUGAUUUAGGUGCUGUAGAAUUCGAUUAGCAACCUAAGCACUGCCCAAGAUCACAAACCAGAUCCACUAGAUGCUAAGAACCCAAACAAUCAAGCUUUAAGUUUCAACAAAACCUUUAACGAAAAUGGCUUAAUCAGAACACACUCAGAACAAGAAUUAGAAACCAAUCACACCCAAAAGAAAGAGAAAUAUUUACGUGGUUCGAUUGUGCAAAGAAGCACAAUCUACAUCCACGGGAGAAGCCCACAGAGCAAGCUUUAUUGAUGAUUCAAGUAAUCUUUACAGAGCAAUACAAGAGCUAACUACUAGGAUCAAGACGAAGCUUUCUCUCUAUCUUAACUCUCUCUAUCACGCUCUCAGAUCAUCCAUGAAACUGCUUCUUUAACCAGCUUAUAUAGCAGCUGAUAAAGAACCCAGAAGUUGCAGAUUUCCGCCACCUGGACUAACAGCUUCUAACUGAUUUGAUUCUCCACCCCCCGUGCACUUCACAUGUUUCACUUAAGCCUUUUGCCGAAACGUCUCCAGCUCCUGCCGUUUUGAACUUAAGUGAAUCACAUGCCAUGCUCGUGACUCCUGAGUAUAUUAAACAUAUUCCAAACGUUGUCGUUUAACAUGCUCAAGUUUUGGAUUCAACAUUUUAGUCCACACUACCGUUUCAAAAACAUAGUCGAAAAUAAAAUAAUAUUUUCAAUUAUUGUAAUUUUUAAUCAAAAAUAGGAAAAUAUUUUUAAACGUAACUAGGAGUUGGUUGAAAAAACCAUUAAAAAGAUAUAAAAUUUUAACAGACAACAUGGGCACCAAUAAUGUUUUUCACUACUAUAACUUGCAAGGUUGGUCAAAGCAAAAGCUGUAAGGGUAAGUAAAUAUAAUAUAAAAUUAUAUAUCAUCUAAAAGAAAAGUAAUUGUACGUUUUUUUUUCUUAGUUUACUAUUUUUUUUAUCAAACAUGAACUAGAUAAUUAAAUAAUUAAUUAAUUAAUGUAUUUUUUUUAUAGAAUUAAUUAAUGUACUUAAUUGAAAAUAAAAUUAACUUCUACGAUGCAAACAGAAUUUGAGCCCUCAACUGAAAAGAUAAAAUAUGAAAGUGCCUACCACUGGAGCAAGAAAUAAUUUUCAGUAAAUUAUAAAUUAAAUAAUUAUGAAAGGAUUGAUUUUUUCUAAAGGUUUUACUAGGUGCAACAAUGGAAUUGAAUUACCUUAUUUAACUUAGAAGAUAUUGAUUGAUUACAGCAUAGAUAUAAUGUAUGAUAUCUUAAAUUAAACAUCAAUUAACUUCGAAAUUAUAUUGUAGUUCAAAUAAACUCGAUAAUAUUUAUGAUCACAUUCUAUCUUAUACACAAACUUGAAACUUAUGUUAUUGAUUAAGUCUCAACUAUUUUAAUCAUUAUCAUUGAAUCAAUUUAGAAAUUGAUUAUCGAACUAGCUGGUAUUUUAUAGUUAAGUAUUUAAAGAAAUAAUGUCUAUGAUUGAUCAUAAUUAUUGUUGAAUCAAUUUGGAGACUAGCUAAUUUUCAAAUUAAUGUAAUUAUCUAGUGGUCAAUUUCAAUAAAUAGAGUCUAAUAGUUUUCAUAGUUGUAUUAUACUCAUAAUUGUGGAACAUGGAACGUAUACUUCAUACUUAAAACUUAUUGCAUAUAUUAAAAAAAAUAGAUGAUUAGUAAUUAACAUUUAAUUAUAGUUGAAAUAUUAAUUAUUAAAUUAGUCUAAUUGUCUAAGAACAGUCAUACAAUUAAUUUCAAUAGAUAACAAGAACUAUUGCAAUAAUUUUUUUAUAUUUUAAAACAUAUCUCAACUAUGAAUUAUUAAAACUAAUAUAGCUUCAUAGUUUUUAGGCCAAUAUCUAUUUUCAUCUUUUGUUUAUCUUAUUAAUUUAAAUUUAAAAUCUAUGUUAAAUAAUAAAGAUGUUCUAUCAAUCAAUUUAGGCUAUAGAUUAAUUAAACAAUCUAGUAAUCACAUAAUAGGUAUUACAUAUAAUUGUUCAAUUAUAAUAAACUUUAAAUUUGCAUUAAUGAGAUAAGAAGUUUUGUUUUGCAAUUAAUCGAAUCGUAUGCUAAUAAUUUUCAAUAUUUAUUAUUAUUUCAAUAUUUAUUAGUAUGAAAUAACUAACUUAGGAUAAAUAAAUUGAUUGAUUGAUUUUUUCUUAAAUUUUAAUAUCUUGUAUUAUCUCUAUUAACUAUUUGGUCCACUGCCACCUAACUAAAGUUUUUAGUGCAAGUGUAUGUGUACCUAUUCUCCACUCUCUCUAACAAAUAUCUCAAUUAGCCACCGAAUCAAAUCUAAUAAUAGAAUAAAUAAAUAAAAGCCACCGAUAUUAAGCGCAACGGAUGAAUUCAUCUCCUCUUCUUUUGUAUAUUCUCUCCAAAGCUUUCAACUCUAUUUUGGGGUCAUUUUCUUAAUUUUUUUUAAUUAAACUAUAUAGAAACUGGGGAGAUGUUUUCAGAUAUUUAUUAAUUUUUAUCCUUCACCUUUAAUUUCUUAAGUUUGACAUCAGUUAUUGUUGGCCUCACUCUCACAUGGUUGGUUUGAAGCUUUUCUAUCAUGUAGUUCGGUGAAAAUUAUUUGAUUAAUCGUGACUUGCAGGUAAGAAUUAUAUUAUUAUUUUGUGUUAUGUUUUUAAUUUAUUAGAUUUUAAUUCACAAUUUAUUUGAUAACAAGUGAAAGAGAUGUUAAUUAGGAUAGAUUCAUUUUCUUGUUUAGUAUAUAGGAUUUUCUACUUUAAUUUAAUUGUAUCUUAAUAUUUUUUUUAUUGUUAUCAAGGGAAUUAAGAGCCUAGGAAGAAAAAAUUAUGAUAUUCAACUUUCAUAAGGAUUCAGUUGCUCAAUCCACAUUGAUUCUAUCUUUUAUCAACAGCAAAAUAUCAUUGCAAGAGUGCCAUGUAGCCUUUGGUGUAUUUUAUUUUAUUUAAAUAUUUGUCAUGGAUUCAAUGAUUAAUACGUAUUUAUUUUAUCUUUUAGUAGCAUUAAGUUAUUGUAAUAGCAUCAUGUAGCUUUAAGUCAUUGUAAUGGUGUCUUGUAGCACUUGUACUUUGUUUGAGUUGCACAUGUAUUUGUUGAAAUUAUUUAUAAAAGGAUAUUUGUCGAUUGAUUCAUUGAUUUUUUUCUCCUGAGGCAAUUAAUAAAACCAUUUUCAGCCAUAUAUAUUUGUCUACUAAUUCAUCAUUUUUUUUCCUAGAGGCGAUUAAUAAAAUGAUUAUUUUAACGAUGAAGUAGAAUCAAAUGAAUUUCAAUAAUCAUCUUCUUGGAAAUACUAAGAUUCAAUUAGAACUAAUAUUUAUUCGACUAUAAUUUAUUUUUUCCAACUGUUUUUACCCCUAAAAAAUAGUGUAUUUUUAAUGGUAAUUAGUUAGUUGAAAUUGAUAUUGCAAAUACAACUGCUAUCGAAAAUACUCUUUUUUACUACUUAAGGUGGUCAUAAAUAUCAGUCAUUAGUCACAUGUCCAUAUUAAUUUUCAAUCUAUAUUUAUGUAUUUAUGAUUGUCAAUUUCGCACCAAAUAAGCAUAUUUACGGCGGCCAAUCGGUAAAAGUGUGUUUCUAACCUGGGUAUUAGCGAUUACCAGCGACUGAUUAAGGCCAUUGGAAAAACAUAUUUUCAACAGUAUAGCACUUGUUUCAACUGCAUUCAGCAGUUAUAAAAAGUUAUUUUUCUUGUAGUAUAUUUAUACCGCACAUUUUGACUACCACUAAUUUAAGUUGCCUGAUGAACAUAUUUACCACACAUAAAAACUAAAAUAUCUGAGAUAUUUCUUUAGAUAUUUCUAUAGAUAUUUUAACAUUUUAGAUUACAAUAUUUUUCAACACUUGAUUUAAUCACCAAUCGUUGACUAUGAUGACGACAAAAAAUCUAUUUCAUUGUGCUAACCUCACAAGUGAAAAGGACUCCACAAGAGUACAAAACAGAGCCUUGAUCUAAUAAUAUUACCGAAUAUAGCAUUUUGUUUCCUUAUAAAUGGAGAGAGGUUCUGUCUUUGCACUGCAUAACAGAUAUUAAUGGCUUUACUUAUCGUCAUCAACUUCCUUAUGUGUCUCUCAAUCUUCGUCAUCUUCUUUGUUUUGACAUCAAUUUUGUUGGCCUCACCCUUGGCUGAAAGCUUUUUCUGUCAUGUAGAACGGUGAAAAUUAUUUGAUUAAUUGUGGCUCGUAGGUAAGAAUAAUUAUUGUUUUUUGUGUUCAUGUUUUUAAUUUAUUGGAUUUUAAUUCACAAUUUAUUUUAUAACAACUGAAAGAGAUUUUAUUUAGGAUAGAUUCAUUUUCUUGUUUAGUAUAUAGGAAUUUCUACUUUAAUUUAAUUGUAUCGUAAUUUUUUUUUUAUAUAUAUUGUUAUGCGGUGAAUCAAGAGACCUAGGAAGAAAAAAUUAUGGUAUUCAACUUUCAUAAGGAUUCAAUUGCUCAGUCCAUAUUAAUUCUAUCUUUUAUCAACACCAAAAUAUCAUUGCAAGAGUGCCGUGUAGCUUUUGGUGUAUUAUUUUUUAUUUAAGUAUUUGUCAAAGAUUCAAUGACUAAUACAUAUUUAUUUUAUCUUUUAGCAAUAUUAAGUCAUUGUAGUAGUAUUGUG